rnacentral:rRNA from 1 species
GAUGAACGCUGGCGGCGUGCUUAACACAUGCAAGUCGAACGGUGAACACGGAGCUUGCUCUGUUGGAUCAGUGGCGAACGGGUGAGUAACACGUGAGCAACCUGCCCCUGACUCUGGGAUAAGCGCUGGAAACGGCGUCUAAUACUGGAUAUGUGACGUGACCGCAGGGUCUGCGUUUGGAAAGAUUUUUCUGUUGGGGAUGGGCUCGCGGCCUAUCAGCUUGUUGGUGAGGUAAUGGCUCACCAACGCGUCGACGGGUAGCCGGCCCGGGAGGGUGACCGGCCACCCUGGGCCUGAGACACGGCCCAGACUCCUACGUGAGGCAGCAGUGGGGAAUAUUGCACAAUGGGCGCAAGCCUGAUGAAGAAACGCCGCGUGAGGGAUGACGGCCUUCGGGUUGUAAACCUCUUUUAGCAGGGAAGAAGCGAAAGUGACGGUACCUGCAGAAAAAGCGCCGGCUAACUACGUG